UUUAUACGUCGAAUUUUGGUCGCGACGAAUGCAAUUAAGACAAUAGAUAAUGAGAUGAUAAACCUCAUUAAGCUUCAUUAUCUAUUGUUUGAAUUGCAUUCGACGCGACCGAAAUUCGACGUAUAAA